UACGGAGGGUGCGAGCGUUGUCCGGAAUCACUGGGCGUAAAGGCGCGUAGGUGGCGCGGCAAGUCAACGGUGAAAGCUCGACGCUCAACGUCGAGUCGGCCGUCGAUACUGCCGCGCUGGAGCACUGUAGAGGCUCAUGGAAUUCCGGGUGUAGCGGUGGAAUGCGUAGAGAUCCGGAAGAACACCGGUGGCGAAGGCGGUGAGCUGGGCAGUAGCUGACACUGAGGCGCGGACAGCGUGGGGAGCAAACAG
rnacentral:rRNA from 1 species